UGACAGCAUCUCUGAAGAGCUAAAC
rnacentral:piRNA from 1 species